GUGUCAGCAGCCGCGGUAAUACGGAGGGUGCAAGCGUUAAUCGGAAUUACUGGGCGUAAAGCGUGUGUAGGCGGUCUAUUAAGUCGGAUGUGAAAGCCCCGGGCUUAACCUGGGAAUUGCAUUCGAAACUGGUAGGCUUGAAUUUGGUAGAGGGAAGUGGAAUUCCGGGUGUAGCGGUGAAAUGCGUAGAUAUCCGGAGGAACACCAGUGGCGAAGGCGGCUUCCUGGACCAAAAUUGACGCCGAGGCACGAAUGCGUGGGUAGCAAACAGGAUUAGAUACCCUGGUAGUCCACGCCCUAAACGAUGAGAACUAGCCGUUGGGUGCAUUGAAGUACUUAGUGGCGAAGCUAACGCGUUAAGUUCUCCGCCUGGGGAGUACGGCCGCAAGGUUGAAACUCAAAUGAAUUGGCGGGG
rnacentral:rRNA from 1 species